GAUGAACGCUAGCGGCAGGCCUAAUACAUGCAAGUCGAGGGGCAGCGGGGUAGCAAUACUGCCGGCGACCGGCGCACGGGUGCGUAACACGUAUGCAACCUACCUUAAACUGGGAGAUAGCCCGGGGAAACUCGGAUUAAUACCCCAUAAUACAUUGGUUCACAUGAAUUGAUUGUUAAAGAUUUAUCGGUUUAAGAUGGGCAUGCGUUCGAUUAGCUAGUUGGUAAGGUAACGGCUUACCAAGGCUACGAUCGAUAGGGGGUCUGAGAGGAUGAUCCCCCACACUGGUACUGAGAUACGGACCAGACUCCUACGGGAGGCAGCAGUAGGGAAUAUUGGUCAAUGGAGGCAACUCUGAACCAGCCAUGCCGCGUGUAGGAAGAAGGCGUUCUGCGUUGUAAACUACUUUUGAUUGGGAACAAAUGACUCUUGCGAGAGUAGCUGAGUGUACCAAUAGAAUAAGCCACGGCUAACUACGUGCCAGCAGCCGCCGUAA
rnacentral:rRNA from 1 species